UGGGGAAUAUUGCACAAUGGGGGAAACCCUGAUGCAGCGACGCCGCGUGAGCGAAGAAGUAUUUCGGUAUGUAAAGCUCUAUCAGCAGGGAAGAAACUGACGGUACCUGACUAAGAAGCACCGGCUAAAUACGUGCCAGCAGCCGCGGUAAUACGUAUGGUGCAAGCGUUAUCCGGAUUUACUGGGUGUAAAGGGAGCGUAGACGGAUAGGCAAGUCUGGAGUGAAAACCCGGGGCUCAACCCCGGGACUGCUUUGGAAACUGUUUAUCUGGAGUGCUGGAGAGGUAAGUGGAAUUCCUAGUGUAGCGGUGAAAUGCGUAGAUAUUAGGAGGAACACCAGUGGCGAAGGCGGCUUACUGGACAGUAACUGACGUUGAGGCUCGAAAGCGUGGGGAGCAAACA
rnacentral:rRNA from 1 species